GACGAACCGUGCGAACGUUGUUCGGAAUCACUGGGCAUAAAGGGCGCGUAGGCGGCUUUUCAAGUCAGGGGUGAAAUCCGGCAGCUCAACUGUCGAAGUGCCCUUGAUACUGAGGAGCUCGAGGGAGGUAGGGGUGUGUGGAACUUCCGGUGGAGCGGUGAAAUGCGUUGAUAUCGGAAGGAACGCCGGUGGCGAAGGCGGGACUCUGGGCCGAUACUGACGCUGAGGAGCGAAAGCGUGGGGAGCAAACAGG
rnacentral:rRNA from 1 species